GCGUUCGUGGUGUAUCGGUAACAUUGGGUCUUCCCAUGCUCUCAAUUGUAUAUCUUGAAGUAUGGCCUAGCACCGGGUUCGACUCCCGGCGGACGCA